rnacentral:lncRNA from 1 species
UUGUGUAUUAGUUGAGUCGAGUCCAUUUCCCGAGAGUAAUAAAGCCAACAUACAGGCCGUCCGAGCGGCCGGGGCGUUCGUCGCUGCAAAGCCUGUGUUUGUCGCUACUGUUCUUCUUCCUCGCGUGUGUGGUGAGGGAGUGACUCCUGGGCAAAGCUAACAGCGCUCUGCCCUCCCUCCUAGAGCUCAGUGACCACCCCUCCUUGAGCCCGGUGGCGACCUCUCUAACCCCGUCCUCCCUGAGCCCGACGUCCUCCCCGACCCGACGGCCGGCGCCCUCUCCCACCCCUAUACUCCCUGAUUAGGCAAAUCAACUAUAUUUUUCCUAAGCAUAGCACUUAGGCAAUAUUUUCCAUUGCUUCCUGCUAUAUUUCCUAAGCAUAUUACUUAGGCAAUAUAAGUACUAUUAUCCAUUCAUCGCUGGCAAAUCAAAGUUUCCCCUUCUGCGCAGGUUACUGUCCCGUGCAUGCUACAAGUUCGGGUGAUGGAGAAUUUUAGCUCUGAUGUAACUGAGGGACUUGUUUUCAAACCCUCGGAAAAUAUAAUAGUACAACAGGCUCAACUGUUGGAUGGACAUGCCAAGAUACAGGUGAACAAGAGUUUUAGACAAUUGAGACACGUUUCCACUUGAGAAACCAACCAAACAAUGAGAUCCUAACACUGGGGGUGGCAAAAAGGACCUACAUUUAAUGACCUAAACGUGACAUUGUUAUAAAGAUUAAAGUCAGAUCAACCGAGUUUUCAUAUCUAUUUGUUUUCCAAAUAUAUAUAUGUAGGGACCUAAAUCAAUAGCCGUUACUGAUACUGUAACUAUCAGUGACGAACCAUGAUGUAGGUCGUAGCUGUUAAUACAUGUCACGGUCUUAGUUAUAUUGCUUGUGACCGAUAUUAUAUAUUAUCGGUCACGGUUGGGGUUCUUUGCUCCUUACAGAUAUAUAUCGGUAAUAGACCGUCUUCGUAGCUCCAUGGUUGGUUGAACGUCUGUCGAUAACGGUUAACAUUAAUAAACCGGUACCGAUAUUGUCCAUCUUUAUCGGUCCGUUCACACAUGACAGAUAUGUUUGGGCUUUAGUAACCCUUUCUCUAUCACAGGCCUGAUACCGGUGAUACGUGUUUCGGUCCGUUACGGAUACGGAGCUCUACAGCAGCGUCCCUUUAGGUGAGCCCGACCCACGAGUACGUCCAGCUCGCUGUCGUAGUACGUGGCCGCGCGCGCCCGCCGCUGUCACCGAUGAACGGCAGCAACCAGUCCCCGCAGAGCGUCCACCGCUGACCGUUCUCCGAGCUGAUGGAGUAGGAGAAGCUGCCCUCCUCGGCUCCUCGCGACCGGCGCCGGCCGCUGCCGCAGAUGCGUGCUUCCGGACGGCCGUGAACUGCGGGAAGCCGCUGACCGUCGUCGGACGCUGCAGCCGGAGGACCGAAGGCGGCUCAGGGAGGAGGAUAUUCUCCGGCGAAGCUCAUGUCGCCGGCGUUCAUCAACAAGUGGUCGUCGUCGCCGCCACCGACGCCGACGACGACGUCCACCUUAUGAAUGCCGAACGCGUUCUUCCGGCCGGUCAUUCAGCAGUACGUACAGACGCUGCUCUGCCCUCUGCCUUCGCCGGCGGCGAACUGAUCCGCCUCGUGUCCGCUCGAGAGGUGCCGUCGUAUCGCCGGCGUCCGGAGGCGUCGCCCCGUGAGCCAGUCAGGUCGGCGGUUGCGGUGGCAAAGAACCGGUGGCGCUCGUCGCGCCGGCGGCCAUGGCAGCUUAGGGCUACGCACGCACACGCGGUGACACCAUUUCUAUCAGGUGGGCUUAAUUGGACGACCUCUUCCCUUUCUCUCUGGCCCAGUUAUUGGAUUAAAUAACGUAAUGUGGGCUUUGCCUGAUAUUCUUUUUCUUUUUUUUCUUUUUUGUUUUUUGGCAUUCUCGUGUCUUCAAGGAGCUCGUGCAGACUGAGGCCUGUUUCUUUCCGCUCAUGAUUAUUAUAAUUUAGAUUAUUGAAUUAGAUUACUAUAAACUAGUUUUUUAUAAUCUAUAGUAGAAUAAGCGGUGAGUUGUUUCUUUUCUAGAUUAUUAGAGUCUAGAUUAUUAGGUUUGCAAGUCUAAAGAAGCAGUGGAGUGGCAUGGUGGGGAAUUUUUUACCUAAUAAUCUAGAAAAAGUUCACCUAAAUGAACUUAUCAGAUUAUAAUAAGCUGGGCUCAAGCUUAUAAUAAACUACUUUAAUAAGUUAUCUGUUUCUUUCAGUUUACCCUCGAUAAUCUAGAUUAUAAUAAUCUUAAACCGAAAGAAAUAGGCCUAAGAUUCCUUGCGUGCCCUAUAAUCAAUCUUUGCGACGACAUUGACAUUUCUUUCAGUUUUCUAUUAAAAAAACCAAAUCGAGAGUACGG